rnacentral:rRNA from 1 species
CCUACGGGAGGCAGCAGUGAGGAAUAUUGGUCAAUGGGCGCGAGCCUGAACCAGCCAAGUAGCGUGAAGGAUGACUGCCCUACGGGUUGUAAACUUCUUUUAUAAAGGAAUAAAGUGAGGCACGUGUGCCUUUUUGUAUGUACUUUAUGAAUAAGGAUCGGCGAACUCCGUGCCAGCAGCCGCGGUAAUUCGGGGGAUGCAAGCGUUAUCCGGAUUUAAUGGGCUUAAAGGGUGCGUAGGUUGUGAGGUAAGUCAGCGGUGAAAUGCCCCCGCUCAACGGGGUGAAGUGCCAAUGUUACUGCCUUGCUUGAGUGCGGAUGCCGUGGGAGGAAUGUGUGGUGUAGCGGUGAAAUGCAUAGAUAUCACGCAGAACACCGAUUGCGAAGGCAUCUUACGAAUCCGCGAUUGACGCUGAUGCACGAAAGCGUGGGUAUCAAACAGGAUUAGAUACCCCAGUAGUC